AGGUUCAUAAAAUAAAGUCUACUUAUGUUGAUGGACUUCUUUCCUGCAUGAAGAAGGACUUUGUCACUUCAACAUGGAAUCAGACAGGAACUGUGAGUGGGAGACUUUCUGCCAAACAUCCAAACAUCCAGUCCAUUCCAAAGCAGCCUAUUCAAAUUAAAAAGAAGCAGUAUAUAGAAGGUAA